GGGAUGAGCCGGUAGAAGAAAGCAGGUAAGCAGCGGCGGCCUACAUGUCUAUGGUUGGUACAUGCCGCCAUCUAAAACACUUACAAUGAACAUCAAUGUUUCUGAGCUUUGCUUGUUGAGCCUGUCGUUGCCAUGUAAGCCAGCCACGAAGUGUUCAGAAAAUAUCUGAAGUUAUAUUCUACAGUAGAAUCUAAUCACCUUAUUGUGGUUGUUUUCUGUGUCAGUCAUUAUUUGGAUAACAUCCUAUUGGAGAAUAUCGGUGAUGUUAAGACAUUGCAAGCAUUAUUUGAACUCGAAGCACUUCUUCUUACAAGUAUGCUCAUUUUAUAAUCGUUUCCUUGGUUGUGGUGGAUUAUUUAGUGAAUAUAAUUCCUUUUUUAGGUCAUUGCAUGAAAAAUAAGAAUACUUAUAUCACUGAAUUACUGGUGAUUUUCUAUCGGAAGCUAGUUCAGUUAGGCGCUUCUAACGUCUUAAGCUCUAUUUCUCUUCAGUUGCCCUUAAUUACCAGAUGUUGGGUAUUUUCUUCCAUGAAACUGCUCUUCAGUUUGAUAUAAUCUGCAGGAGCAAUCCAGGAGCAUGGCGUGUCACCUAUGUCCUAAUCAAGUGUGUAAUCUCCUAUUGAUUUUGCCUACUGAAUUAUAACAAGUUUUGAACUUUGUUGACUGAUUUUCCUUAUCCUGCUUGUUAGCUUUUCAUGUCAUUCUGCACGCUGCUCAUAGUGUGCAUUCCUUGUUAUUUGCUAAUGGUUGUACUGUACAAAGCUUGGUCUGUUAUUGAAACACAUAAGUGCGGCAGCAAAUUCAUAAUGUGCAUUUCUUGUUAUUUACUAAUGGUUGUACUAAACAAAGCAUGGUCGAAACACAUCCUUUAGUGGGGCACACUUAUAUAUGUCGAUUUUUCCUCCAGCUGUGUAUUACAUAUUGUGAUAAUUGUACGAAGGCUGCCAUAAAAGACACACAUGUCUUUAGAUCAGCAAUAUGCCAGGCAAAUAAUGGUCGAAACACAUACCUUAAUUUCUACUCUGUGUUCAGGCCCUAGCAGAGCUUGAACCUUCUUCAACAAAUAAUGGUAACCGAGUCUUAGUCGUCACUGGACCACAAUUCUUGAUAUCCUUCCAUGGACACUGGAAGUAAUAUGAGCUACAGAUAUGCAUCUCAAUGGGGGGUUAUUUCUUUCCUCAACAAGUUAUAGUAUAACAGGAGAGGUAAAGUGAACACACACCUUUGGUUUUAUGGUUCAUAGAACGUCACUGUAAUAUGUUUUAGGCUAAGCCGAAGCGGCGUUGGCACUGAAGAACUUCAGUCUUAUUCUGGAGUCUGAUGCAUUACAAAUUAUUGCUGUAUAUUGAUCUUGUACUCACAUGAAUAGGGUAAUGAUGCUGACCUGUGGCUUCACCUUCCAUGGAAAACUCUGGCACACCUUCCAUGGAAAACUCUGACUUGCCAGGAGGUGGUCGUCGCUUCCAGAGAUCGUCGCCGAUCCAGUAGUCGCUUCAAGAGACCGUCUCUCGAUCUGGUCGUCGCUUCCAGAGAUCGUCGCCCAGCCCGGUCGUCGCUUCCAGGGAUGGGGAUGCCUUCACCAAAUGAGGCAAAAUCUGGCUCGCAGAUAUGGGUCGUCCAUCUGGAAGGUUUCGGUUGUAUACAUGGAAAGAAUCCAACUUGAUAUGUGGAAGGUCUAGGCUGCAUACACGGAAAGACUACGUGAUCAUGAAUUGUGAUAUGAUUUCUACUAUACAUGGAAUACAUGUUAUGUGCAAAAGGAAAAGAAUUUGUUAGGGGUAUCGAUG
rnacentral:lncRNA from 1 species